AGUCGAGCGGCAUCGAGUGAGCGCAGUUUACUGAGUUCAUGUCGGCGAGCGGCGGACGGGUGAGUAAAGUCUGGGAAUCUGGCCGAAGGAGGGGGAUAACUGCUGGAAACGGCAGCUAAUACCGCAUGAAGUCGCGAGACCAAAGUGGGGGACCUUCGGGCCUCACGCCUUCGGAUGAGCCCAGAUGAGAUUAGCUGGUAGGUAAGGUAAAGGCUUACCUAGGCGACGAUCUCUAGCGGGUCUGAGAGGAUAGCCCGCCACACUGGAACUGAGACACGGUCCAGACUCCUACGGGAGGCAGCAGUGGGGAAUAUUGCACAAUGGGCGAAAGCCUGAUGCAGCCAUGCCACGUGUGUGAAGAAGGCCUUCGGGUUGUAAAGCACUUUCAGCGAGGAGGAAGNNNUUAAUGCCAAUACCAUUUAA
rnacentral:rRNA from 1 species